AGACUCCCCACCACAGUGACACAAACCAACCAGCCGCCUCGAGAGGUUGCUGAAGAGGUAUGCAGCGAUGGUCUGGAGGAAAAAAUAGUCACAUGGACUGGUGUGCAUUCCAGUACUUGAAAUGAUGCUGUUGCUCAGGCACAUCCAGGUGCGAGGAUGGGGGAGAUCCGGAUGUCGCUAAAUAAAAGAAUCUGUGAACUGCUUCACCAAGAGAAAAAGAAGUCCAUGGACAGGCCUAUGAGCCCUCUUGUUGACCUUGAGUGACUGAGGCUGCGGGCGGUCUGCCCCUGAAUUCACCUUCACUUUCACUUUUUUUUUUUUUUUUUAAAUAUAUCUGAAGGUGUGUGUGUGUGUGCGCGCGCGGGUGUGUGUGUGUGUGGGCGCGGGCACGCGUAUGUGUUUGUGUGUGUGCACGCGUGCAUGUGUGCCAGUGCUUUAUGUGAGGUGUUUCGCUUACUGGCCACAGCCACAGUUUUUUGUUUUGUUUUGUUUUUGUUUUAUUUGUU